rnacentral:rRNA from 1 species
GCAAGGCUGAAACUCAAAGAAAUUGACGGGGGCUCACACAAGCGGUGGAGGAUGUGGCUUAAUUCGAGGCUACGCGAAGAACCUUAUCCUAGUCUUGACAUGCUUGGAUUAACCCUGUGAAAGCAGGGCCACGCCUUCGGGUGGAACAAGCACAGGUGCUGCAUGGCUGUCGUCAGCUCGUGUCGUGAGAUGUCGCGUUAAGUCGCUUAACGAGCGAAACCCUUGUCACUAGUUGCCAGCACGUAAUGGUGGGGACUCUAGUGAGACCGCCGGCGUUAAGCCGGAGGAAGGUGGGGAUGACGUCAAGUCCUCAUGGCCCUUAUGACUAGGGCUGCACACGUCCUACAAUGGAGCGCACAAAGGGAUGCAAAGCCGCGAGGUCGAGCAAAUCCCAAAAAACGCUCCCUAGUUCGGAUUGCAGGCUGCAACUCGCCUGCAUGAAGCUGGAAUCGCUAGUAAUCGCGGGUCAGCAUACCGCGGUGAACGUGUUCCUGAGCCUUGUACACACCGCCCGUCAAGCCACGAAAGUGGGGGGCAUCCGAAGUCGCUGAGGUAACCGCAAGGAGCCAGGCGCCUAAGAUGAACUCUGCGAUUGGGACU